UUUAUAUACACCAAAGUAUGUUUAAAGAAUGUCAUCAAUAGGAACUUGUUUCCUAUAUAAUUAUACAACUUUCAGCAACGGAUCUCUUGGCUCUCGCAUCGAUGAAGAACGCAGCGAAAUGCGAUAAGUAAUGUGAAUUGCAGAAUUCAGUGAAUCAUCGAAUCUUUGAACGCACCUUGCGCUCCUUGGUAUUCCGAGGAGCAUGCCUGUUUGAGUGUCAUUAAAUUCUCAACCUUCCAGCUUUUUAUAAGCUUGGUUAGGCUUGGAUGUGGGGGUUGUGGGCUUCAUUAAUGAGGUCAGCUCUCCUUAAAUGCAUUAGCGGAACUUUUGUGGACCGUCUAUUGGUGUGAUAAUUAUCUACGCCGUGGAUGUGAAGCAGAUUUAUGAAGUUCAGCUUCUAACCGUCCAUUGACUUGGACAUUUUUGACAAUUUGACCUCAAAUCAGGUAGGACUACCCGCUGAACUUAAGCAUAUCAAUAAGCGGAGGAAAAGAAACUAACAAGGAUUCCCCUAGUAACUGCGAGUGAAGCGGGAAAAGCUCAAAUUUAAAAUUCUGGCAGUCUUUGGCUG
rnacentral:rRNA from 1 species